rnacentral:misc_RNA from 1 species
GUGAAUCAUCGAAUUUUUGAACGCAAAUUGCACUCUCCUCGGAGAGUAUGCCUGUUUGAGGGUCAGCCUAUAAAAAUCGACAUCGUUGCUGUUUCGCGGUGGCGUUCGUCGGAAAUUGGGUCAUCUUAAAUCCUUUCGAUUAAACCAACUUAAAUUUUCCUUUUGGUUCCAUGACCUUUUCUAAAUUCAAUUUUUUUAAACGUUAAAG